GUGGUGUUAGUUUAAUCCGUAAAUUGUGAACACCCACUACAAUAUUUGGAAGAAAAAAAAAAAAAGAGAGAUUACUCAAAUGCCGAGCAAACUUGUACGUUGCUAGAAUAAUGAGAACAGCAGGCAAAGCGUUGGAACUGAAGUGAGAUGUAGAACUGCUAGAGUCUUGAUUUUUUCAUACACAAUUUAAAAUGAUCUGCAAUACUGUGUAUAUUAAAAAACAAAAACAUUUGCGACACAGUGAGAGAGCUGAAAACAUUGAAAUAUUGAUUGAGUUUCUUAAUAUUUUAACAAACAAGAAAACCAUUGUUUUAAUUGAAAUUUCUUUAGCAACAGGAGGCUUGCAGUAUUACAGAAUGUUUGAUCAACAUAUUACUGAGUAGGAAGUGAGCUGCAGUUUGUUGAAUCCAGGUUGAUUAACGAACACAGUAGCUUGGCUGAUCCUUUAUUACAGAUGCCGUAGUUCCUCUG